rnacentral:rRNA from 1 species
UACAGGGGGUGCAAACGUUGCUCGGAAUCAUUGGGCGUAAAGCGCACGUAGGCGGUUCGUUAUGUCGGAUGUGGAAGCCCUUGGCUUAACCGAGGAAGUGCAUCCGAAACUGGCGAGCUAGAGUACUAAAGAGGAUCGCGGAAUUCCCGGUGUAGAGGUGAAAUUCGUAGAUAUCGAGAGGAACACCGGUGGCGAAGGCGGCGAUCUGGACGAUGACUGACGCUGAGACGCGAAAGCGUGGGGAGCAAACAGG